AAGUCGUAACAAGGUUUCCGUAGGUGAACCUGCGGAAGGAUCAUUAAAGAAUUCGGCUUCGCGGCCAAGUUCUCACCCUUUGUAUACCGAAACCAUGUUGCUUUGGCAGGCCCCUGCAUUUCUCGGGCCUGCCAGAGGUUAUAAACCCUAGAAUCUCUGCCGUGCUCGAUGGUAAGUCAUAUCUAGUCAAGCAUUAGGUUUAAAAAAACC
rnacentral:misc_RNA from 1 species